rnacentral:rRNA from 1 species
AGACGUCUACAUUAGAUACCCCCGUAGUCCCAGCCGUAAACUAUGCGCGUUAGGUGUAUCGGUGACCACGAGUCACCGAGGUGCCGAAGGGAAACCGUGAAACGUGCCGCCUGGGAAGUACGGUCGCAAGGCUGAAACUUAAAGGAAUUGGCGGGGAGCACCACAACAGGUGGAGCCUGCGGUUUAAUUGGAUUCAACGCCGGACAUCUCACCAGGAGCGACAGCUGUAUGAUUACCAGGCUGAUGACCUUGUUUGACUAGCUG